UCGAACGGGCUCUUCGGAGCUAGUGGCGGACGGGUGAGUAACGCGUGAGAAUCUGCCUUCAGGUCUGGGACAACAGAAGGAAACUUCUGCUAAUCCCGGAUGAGCCCUUGGGUAAAAGAUAAAUUGCCUGGAGAUGAGCUCGCGUCUGAUUAGCUAGUUGGUGUGAUAAAAGCAUACCAAGGCGACGAUCAGUAGCUGGUCUGAGAGGAUGAGCAGCCACACUGGGACUGAGACACGGCCCAGACUCCUACGGGAGGCAGCAGUGGGGAAUUUUCCGCAAUGGGCGAAAGCCUGACGGAGCAAGACCGCGUGGGGGAGGAAAGCUCUAGGGUUGUAAACCCCUUUUCUUUGGGAAGAAGUACUGACGGUACCAAAGGAAUCAGCCUCGGCUAACUCCGUGCCAGCAGCCGCGGUAAUACGGAGGAGGCAAGCGUUAUCCGGAAUGAUUGGGCGUAAAGCGUCCGCAGGUGGCCAUGUAAGUCUGCUGUCAAAACCCAGGGCUUAACUCUGGUCAGGCAGUGGAAACUACAAAGCUAGAGUUCGGUAGGGGCAAAGGGAAUUCCCGGUGUAACGGUGAAAUGCGUAGAUAUCGGGAAGA
rnacentral:rRNA from 1 species